CAAAAAAAUGGAUAAAUCAUUUGAUCUGGCAACACUGAGCUAACGAAAGCUGAAAACUUUUUCCAACGGUCAUUUUUUUCACGACCAGUAGAAGGAGUUGAAAUGGUAAGUAAUUUCUCAUUAUUGAUAAUCAUGUCGAGUAAUUAUGCCUUUCAUUUCAGCAGCUUUUUGCAAGCUAUGGAAGUUCCUCCAGGAAAUUUCCUAUCGGAACGUGUUCCGGCCCAGGAGGGAACAUCAGCUCUUAUAUCGAACUCAAAAUUUUCGCGCGGGGAGUUCCAGAGGAGUUGCUCCACCCAACUUCCUUCAAAUCGAUCGAAUCGGAUUCUGACCCAGGAAGGAUAUACCAAUGUUUAACUUCAUCCUGCCGAAGUGCUCGCGUUGAAAGCUGGUGAUGGCAGAUAAAUUGCUAAAAUUCCUCCAGAAAACCUCCGAUUGGAAUGGAUUCCGGCCCAGGAGAGGGCUUAAGGAUACCUGCUUCGAAACGUGCAACCUUUCUGAAAGCUGUAAUUUAGAAAUGUUGGAAAAUCCAGUUGCGUCCAGGCAUUCUUAGAGCGAGAAAAGCAGAUAAGGAUUCAAGCUGGUGGACCACCGUGGAGGUACUCAUAAUUCAUGACAACAGUUGAUUGUACUAGCUGAAACAAAUAUCAAAUUAUGUAUUUGUGUAAAAUAUUAUACUAGGAAUUAAAAUUAUUAAUAAAUAAAUGAUCAUGACA